UACGGAGGAUCCGAGCGUUAUCCGGAUUAAUUGGGUUUAAAGGGUGCGUAGGUUGUAUUGUAAGUUAGCGGUGAAAUCCAGGUGCUUAACACCUGACGUGCCGCUAAUACUGCCAUACUAGAGAUUGGAUGCAGCAGGCGGAAUGUGUAGUGUAGCGGUGAAAUGCAUAGAUAUUACACAGAACACCGAUUGCGAAGGCAGCUUGCUAAGCCACAUCUGACACUGAUGCACGAAAGCGUGGGGAUCAAACAGG
rnacentral:rRNA from 1 species